GCAAGCAAAUCCUCUUGUUGGUUUUCGACUCUGAUGGACUAAAGUAGAGAAGUGGUGUCAUGUUCCUUUUUCGUCGUGUUCCUUCUUACCCGAGUAGCUGGAACUAAUUCAAUACCAGUUGAUCUUGCUGAGGGAAUUCGGUAUCGUGAAGAUGGUUUACGUUUAGUUGUGGAGACUCUUCCAGGCUCUGCAAAGACUUGACAUCUGUACCAUUUCUUAUAGCAAACUACACUUAAAGUAAAUGUCAAAAUUUUCCAGCCAGAAAAACGGAGAUGUCUGUCAAUGUUUGUUGGCCUAAUAAACACCGGGUGAAGUAUGUAGUCUUAAACGUUUAAAGUUUAUUUUGGUUUACAGGCAGUGGACUGGAAUAGCUGAGACCCUGUUAUUCAAGAACUCCGGUGUUCGUUGUCAUUAAUACUAAAUUUUUAAUAGGUGAGACAGGAGCCUGGUGUUACUGAUAUACUACUGCACUUAAGCCUAAA